rnacentral:rRNA from 1 species
AGCCAGACUCCUACGGGAGGCAGCAGUGAGGAAUAUUGGUCAAUGGGCGCGAGCCUGAACCAGCCAAGUCGCGUGAGGGAAGACGGUCCUAUGGAUUGUAAACCUCUUUUGUCGGGGAGCAAAAGACGCCACGCGUGGCGUUCCGAGAGUACCCGAAGAAAAAGCAUCGGCUAACUCCGUGCCAGCAGCCGCGGUAAUACGGAGGAUCCGAGCGUUAUCCGGAUUUAUUGGGUUUAAAGGGAGCGUAGGUGAAUUGUUAAGUCAGUUGUGAAAGUUUGCGGCUCAACCGUAAAAUUGCAGUUGAAACUGGCAGUCUUGAGUACAGUAGAGGUGGGCGGAAUUCGUGGUGUAGCGGUGAAAUGCAUAGAUAUCACGCAGAACUCCGAUUGCGAAGGCAGCAUACCGGCGCUCAACUGACGCUCAUGCACGAAAGUGUGGGUAUCGAACAGGAUUAGAUACCCGGGUAGC